CCUACGGGAGGCAGCAGUGGGGGAUAUUGCACAAUGGGGGAAACCCUGAUGCAGCGACGCCGCGUGUGGGAAGACGGUCUUCUGGAUUGUAAACCACUGUCCCCAGGGACGAAAAUGACGGGACCGGGGGAGGAAGCACCGGCUUACUACGUGCCAGCAGCCGCGGUAAUACGUCGGGAGCAAGCGUUGUCCGGCAUUACUGGGUGUAAAGGGAGCGUAGGCGGGGAUGCACGUGGGGUGUCAAAACUACCGGCUCAACCGAUAGUCGCACUCAAAACUGCAGCUCUUGCGUGAAGUCGAGGCAGGCGCACUUCCUGGUGUAGCGGUGAAAUGCGUCGAUAUUAGGACGACCACCAGUGGCGACGCCGGCCUGCUGGGCUUUUCCUGCCGCUUAGGCUCGAACGUGUGGGGCGCAAACAGGAUUAGAUACCCGGUAGUC
rnacentral:rRNA from 1 species